UACGUAGGGGGCAAGCGUUGUCCGGAAUUAUUGGGCGUAAAGAGCGUGUAGGCGGUCCGGUAAGUCAGCUGUGAAAGUCAAGGGCUCAACCCUUGAAUGCCGGUUGAUACUGUCGGGCUAGAGUCCGGAAGAGGCGAGUGGAAUUCCCGGUGUAGCGGUGAAAUGCGCAGAUAUCGGGAGGAACACCAGUAGCGAAGGCGGCUCGCUGGGCCAUUCCUGACGCUGAGACGCGAAAGCUAGGGGAGCGAACAGG
rnacentral:rRNA from 1 species